UACAGAGGGUGCAAGCGUUAAUCGGAAUUACUGGGCGUAAAGCGCGCGUAGGUGGUUUGUUAAGUUGGAUGUGAAAUCCCCGGGCUCAACCUGGGAACUGCAUCCAAAACUGGCAAGCUAGAGUAUGGUAGAGGGUGGUGGAAUUUCCUGUGUAGCGGUGAAAUGCGUAGAUAUAGGAAGGAACAUCAGUGGCGAAGGCGACCACCUGGACUGAUACUGACACUGAGGUGCGAAAGCGUGGGGAGCAAACAGG
rnacentral:rRNA from 1 species